rnacentral:rRNA from 1 species
UACGUAGGGUGCGAGCGUUAAUCGGAAUUACUGGGCGUAAAGCGUGCGCAGGCGGUUGGCCAAGUCAGCUGUGAAAGCCCCGGGCUCAACCUGGGAAUGGCGGUUGAAACUAGUCGACUCGAAUCUGGCAGAGGGGGGUGGAAUUCCACGUGUAGCAGUGAAAUGCGUAGAUAUCUGGAGGAACACCGGUGGCGAAGGCGGCAUCCUGGACCGGCAUUGACGCUGAGGCGCGAAAGCCAGGGGAGCAAACGGG